rnacentral:rRNA from 1 species
CAGUCGCCGCGGGAAUACAGAGGGUGCGAGCGUUAAUCGGAUUUACUGGGCGUAAUGCGUGCGUAGGCGGCUUUUUAAGUCGGAUGUGAAAUCCCUGAGCUUAACUUAGGAAUUGCAUUCGAUACUGGGAAGCUAGAGUAUGGGAGAGGAUGGUAGAAUUCCAGGUGUAGCGGUGAAAUGCGUAGAGAUCUGGAGGAAUACCGAUGGCGAAGGCAGCCAUCUGGCCUAAUACUGACGCUGAGGUACGAAAGCAUGGGGAGCAAACAGGAUUAGAGACCCCUGUAGUCCCUGUCUCUUAUAC